rnacentral:rRNA from 1 species
UACGGAAGGGGGCUAGCGUUGCUCGGAAUCACUGGCGUAAAGCGCACGUAGGCGGCUUUCUAAGUCAGGGGUGAAAUCCUGGAGCUCAACUCCAGAACUGCCUUUGAUACUGGAGAGCUUGAGUCCGGAAGAGGUGAGUGGAACUCCGAGUGUAGAGGUGAAAUUCGUAGAUAUUCGGAAGAACACCAGUGGCGAAGGCGGCUCACUGGUCCGGUACUGACGCUGAGGUGCGAAAGCGUGGGGAGCAAACAGG